AGUGAACGCUGGCGGUAGGCCUAACACAUGCAAGUCGAACGGCAGCACAGUAAGAGCUUGCUCUUACGGGUGGCGAGUGGCGGACGGGUGAGGAAUACAUCGGAAUCUACUUUUUCGUGGGGGAUAACGUAGGGAAACUUACGCUAAUACCGCAUACGACCUACGGGUGAAAGCAGGGGAUCUUCGGACCUUGCGCGAUUGAAUGAGCCGAUGUCGGAUUAGCUAGUUGGCGGGGUAAAGGCCCACCAAGGCGACGAUCCGUAGCUGGUCUGAGAGGAUGAUCAGCCACACUGGAACUGAGACACGGUCCAGACUCCUACGGGAGGCAGCAAUGGGGAAUAUUGGACAAUGGGCGCAAGCCUGAUCCAGCCAUACCGCGUGGGUGAAGAAGGCCUUCGGGUUGUAAAGCCCUUUUGUUGGGAAAGAAAAGCAGCAGGUUAAUACCCCGCUGUUCUGACGGUACCCAAAGAAUAAGCACCGGCUAACUUCGU
rnacentral:rRNA from 1 species